UACGAAGGGUGCUAGCGUUGUUCGGAAUCACUGGGCGUAAAGCGCACGCAGGCGGAUUGAUAAGUCAGGGGUGAAAUCCCGGGGCUCAACCUCGGAAUUGCCUUUGAUACUGUCUGUCUUCGAGUUCGGGAGAGGUUGGCGGAAUUCCUAGUGUAGAGGUGAAAUUCGUAGAUAUUAGGAAGAACACCAGUGGCGAAGGCGGCUCACUGGUCCGGUACUGACGCUGAGGUGCGAAAGCGUGGGGAGCAAACAGG
rnacentral:rRNA from 1 species